rnacentral:miRNA from 1 species
UAGUGGUGCAAUGUAAAACAUUGCAGUUCCAUAGUAACUGCAAUAUUUACAUUGCAGCUCAA